UACGGGGGGGGCAAGCGUUGUUCGGAAUUACUGGGCGUAAAGGGCUCGUAGGCGGCCAACUAAGUCAGACGUGAAAUCCCUCGGCUUAACCGGGGAACUGCGUCUGAUACUGGAUGGCUUGAAUCCGGGGGAGGGAUGCGGAAUUCCAGGUGUAGCGGUGAAAUGCGUAGAUAUCUGGAGGAACACCGGUGGCGAAGGCGGCAUCCUGGACCGGCAUUGACGCUGAGGAGCGAAAGCCAGGGGAGCAAACGGG
rnacentral:rRNA from 1 species